rnacentral:rRNA from 1 species
AGGACGAACGCUGGCGGCGUGCUUAACACAUGCAAGUCGAGCGGAAAGGCCCUUCGGGGUACUCGAGCGGCGAACGGGUGAGUAACACGUGAGCAACCUGCCCUUAGCUUCGGGAUAGCUCCGGGAAACCGGAAUUAAUACCGAAUAUGACUUUGGCUGACAUCAGCAGAAGUGGAAAGUUUUUCGGCUGGGGAUGGACUCGCGGCCUAUCAGCUUGUUGGUGGGGUAAUGGCCUACCAAGGCGACGACGGGUAGCCGGCCUGAGAGGGCGACCGGCCACACUGGGACUGAGACACGGCCCAGACUCCUACGGGAGGCAGCAGUGGGGAAUCUUGCGCAAUGGGCGAAAGCCUGACGCAGCGACGCCGCGUGGGGAUGAAGGCCUUCGGGUUGUAAACCCCUUUCAGCAGGGACGAAGCGAAAGUGACGGUACCUGCAGAAGAAGCGCCGGCUAACUACGUGCCAGCAGCCGC